GUGGGGAAUAUUGGACAAUGGGCGAAAGCCUGAUCCAGCCAUGCCGCGUGUGUGAAGAAGGUCUUCGGAUUGUAAAGCACUUUAAGUUGGGAGGAAGGGCAGUAAGUUAAUACCUUGCUGUUUUGACGUUACCGACAGAAUAAGCACCGGCUAACUUCGUGCCAGCAGCCGCGGUAAUACGAAGGGUGCAAGCGUUAAUCGGAAUUACUGGGCGUAAAGCGCGCGUAGGUGGUUUUGGAAGUUGGAGGUGAAAUCCCCGGGCUCAACCUGGGAACUGCCUCCAAAACUGCAUGACUAGAGUACGGUAGAGGGUAGUGGAAUUUCCUGUGUAGCGGUGAAAUGCGUAGAUAUAGGAAGGAACACCAGUGGCGAAGGCGACUACCUGGACUGAUACUGACACUGAGGUGCGAAAGCGUGGGGAGCAAACAGGAUUAGAUACCCCGGUAGUCC
rnacentral:rRNA from 1 species